AUGACGACGUUGGAGAACGAGGUUUUUGUACCAGCAGUAACAGGGAUUGUAUCACUGUGGUACACUUUUGGUAGCGGCACCAGACUAGAUGUUGGAAGUAACAGUGCUCCCACCCUCACCGUCCUGCCCCCCUCUAGUGAGGAGCUGUCCAGUACAACAACAGCCACACUGACGUGUCUGGCCAACAAGGGCUUCCCCUCAGACUGGAUCAUGAGCUGGAAAGUGGACGGGACCAGCAAGAAGCAGGAGGCCAGUCCCGGGGUCCUGGAGAAGGGCGGUCUGUACAGCUGGAGCAGCACCCUGACUCUCACUGCCCAGGAGUGGACCAAGGCAGGAGAGGUGACCUGUGAAGCCCAGCAGAAAUCUCAGACUCCAGUCACCAAGACCCUGAGGAAGGCUGACUGUUCUGUGUAGGACCCACCAGUCACACACCCCUGUGGAGAGAGAUUGCUGGUUCCUCUGCUUU